CCUCGUCGCUGGCUUUUGUUCGUUCGUUCGUUCUAGGAAUCGCACUCUCCGAUUCUCGUAGAAUCAUUUUUGCUUUCUUCUUUAACGCUAUCAAUCUUGGUCAGGAACGUCCGCUUUCCGUUUCUUUGCGCUUUAAUUGAAUCUCAUCUGAAGAAUUGCUUUCAAUAAAGAAGAAAGUACUGUCGGAUAUGGUAGGUGGUGCACAUAUCCAGCUCAAAAGAUGGCAGCAAGCAGCAGUUGCACUUGGUUCAGCAGUAGGUGCCUUGUUAGAUCCACGACGAGCAGAUCUAAUAGCAGCUCUUGGGGAAACAACUGGAAAGCCUGCUUUUGAAAGGGUCCUUGAAAGGAUGAAAAAAAGUGCUGAAGGCAGAGCAGUGUUGUUGGAGCGACCUCGUGUAUUAUCAUCAGAAGUUGGUCAUGCAUGGGACCUUCCAUCCAACACAUUUGGAGCUGCAUAUGCUAAUUUUAUGGGUUCCAGGAACUUUUCUCCAGAUGACCGACCUCCUGUUCGAUUCAUGGAUACUGAUGAACUCAAGUAUGUUGCCAUGCGAGCUCGUGAGGUUCAUGACUUCUGGCACACCUUGUUUGGUCUUCCCACAAACUUGAUUGGCGAGUCAGCAUUGAAGGUUAUUGAAUUUGAGCAAAUGCACCUUCCAAUGUGCAUGCUGUCUGUUUUGGGAGGCACAGCUAGAUUCAAUGACAGACAGAGAAAAUUAUUCUUCCAGCACUACUUCCCUUGGGCUAUCCGUGCUGGCAUGCAGUGCACAGAUCUCAUGUGCAUAUAUUAUGAGCGGCACUUCCACGAGGAUUUGGACGAAAUGCGGGCGAAAUGGGGAAUAAUUCCUUUACCUCCUCCCCAAAGUUAACGUUUUGCUUGACAAGUACGAUGAAGGAAAUUAUGGUCAUAGGAGCCUAACCAGGCUCAUCUCUAUCCAUCUUGAUGCUGGCUUCGUUCAUGGUUGUCAUCAGAAUAAUCUCCUGAUAAGUCCAAACUUUUCAAGGGUGAACUCUGAGAUCUCACAUUAGUUGAAGGGGUGACGAGAUAUUUCUUGCAAAGGGGGUGAAAACUCUCCCGACAUGUUUUAAAAUCUUGAGCGAAAGACAAAAAAUUUUGAAAGAUGUUGGAAAAGCUCCACUGUUUUGAAGUCUUUGUGUGUUCAUUUGUAUUGUUUUUUGUAGGGUACAUUUUUUCAUUUCAUAGCAAAAUAAUGCAUGUAGGUUUCAAUGAAUGAUAAAUAACUGACAAAUUUGUGAAAUGACCUUUAGGGCUGUUUAGUACAAAUCUGUAAGAUGGUAAAAAGAACAGAGCAACACUUGCACUGUUAAGCUCA